UACAGAGGUCUCAAGCGUUGUUCGGAUUCAUUGGGCGUAAAGGGUGCGUAGGUGGCGCUGUAAGUCGGGUGUGAAAUUUCGGAGCUUAACUCCGAAACUGCAUUCGAUACUGCGGUGCUUGAGGACUGGAGAGGAGACUGGAAUUCAUGGUGUAGCAGUGAAAUGCGUAGAGAUCAUGAGGAAGACCAGUGGCGAAGGCGGCGAUCUGGGUCGAUACUGACGCUGAGGUGCGAAAGCGUGGGGAGCAAACAGG
rnacentral:rRNA from 1 species